CUGGUCUUGAACUCCCAAACUCAGGUGAGUUGCCUGCCUCGGCCUCCCAAAGUGCUGGGAUUACAGGCGUGAGCCACCGUGCCUGGCCCAGGUCAAUUUUAAAAAUACUAAAGAUUCAUUUUGUUCAAACUUCAACAUUUCUGAGGAAAAAAGGUACAGCGUCACUCUGUUUCUACUUUUGAAGUUGGGAUGCAUGCUCUUCUGAGAGAGCUUUUGCUUCCAUGACUUAACCUCUCUCCCUCCCAUGGAUCGGUGUGAGUACUACAAGAUAAGCACACACAUUAAGUGUGCCAGGUGGAAUUUGAAUUUGGGAGUGUGCGGGGAUUAAGUCCUGUAGCUAGAAUGGACUUGGCACUUGGUGGGCACCACUUGAAUAACCCAAAUUCCACAACUGCUGGGGACGUUUCAGAUUCUUCUGAGGUUGAACAGAUGAAAAGGAGUGUAGAAAAUAAAUAAGUGGCUAACAGUGGACUAGGACCUUAUAUCACUAAAUACAUGGAAUGUCCUCUGGCAAAAAAAACCCACCCAUUUGAACAGCAGAUGCUGCAUUUGCGAUUGUAAAUUAGUAAGUCUUCACUUGAAACCCAGCCUGGUGGCUUCUAGAAACAUUGACCAGAUAUAAGAUUUGGUCAGGAAGUUUGGUUUCAUGAUUAAUAGUCUCCAAAAUACCACUGCUUAUCUGCUAAAAUAUUUGAAAUUCCUGAACUAAGGACUUAUGCCUUUGAUCAUGAGGUAUGAUGUUUUCAGCAGCAUUGGUUGCAACUCUAUGGGAUGAGAGAGGGAACCUUGAGUGUGACAUUUUAGAUUGGGAGGCUGACUGGAUUUGUAUAGUCCUGUUAAAAGACAGGUCAUUAGUCUGUAGGCAAGCCACAGCACUGCGUUCACAAAGCCAACAACCCAGUCUCCUCAGCUCUCCUCCCUAGAACCGCACCUGCUUAUUUUGGUGAUUUAGGCAACUUUUGUGCAAUGCAGUUAGCACUGUCAUGAGCUGAGUCUCAAUUUCUUCAUCUGCAAAAUGGGAUUAAGAAUAAUACAUACCACAUGCUUGGCUAAGCUUCUUCACCAUUGUGAGCACAAAUGAAUAUAACCUCCAGGUAAUGGGAACUGUAACAAGUACUGUCACGAGGAAUCUCCAGCAGCCCCUCCAGAGAAGAGAAGAGUGCAUGGGAGGGAAAACGUUGAACAAUAGAGGGUCCUAAUUAAGAGCCUGAUUUGGAGUCUAGAUCCACCACUAAUGAGCUAAGUGACUUGAUGAGCCUGAGCCUCGCAUUUCCUCAUCUUCGUAAUGGGGUUAGGAAUCAUUCCAAGCUUAAUGAGAGGAGCUGAGGGGUUAGUGGAACCCAGUUCCCAGCACAAUGCCUGGCUGCUGCCAUUGUUGUUUUUAGUUAUGUUAACCUUAGGAAACUGCUAGACUUUGAUGACUUUCUAUCUGCAACAAUGACAGUUUUGUAUGCUUCCCCCUAAUAAUCAGUCACAGGUUUUGGAGGACAGCUAAUUCUAGAAAAAGGAAACAGCACAUGUAAAAGUACCUGGCAAAGAAAGGAAACAGAAACCCCAUAGAGAAUCAUGCACAAGUGAAAAGAGGAGAGGCCAAGGGAACAAUCAAAGGUUUCCACCCCUGCAAAUCGCAGCCGCUUGGUCAGCUUUUGCACCCAGAUCCACUGGAAUGUGCGGAGCAGAGCUUGUCAGUUAUAGGCCUGAGCCUCACUGCUUCUAAAGAAUUCCCAGAGGGAUCCCAAGGAUGAAUGGCUAUCUCCCUGCUUUUAUAGGAAUAGAAUGGACUUCUUGUGAAAUGACUCUCCAACGUGUUUGGAGAGUCAUUUCUUGUGAAAUGAAUAGAUGGACUUCUUGUGAAAUGACUCUCCAGUGUGUUCUCUUUGGGGUUUUAAAUCGUAUUUGAGAGAGCAAAAAUAAAGUACAGCAGAACAAUCUGGAGAAACAAGCAGGGGCUUCCUGGGAAAGUGGCUUCAGGUCCACAGGCUGAGCCCUCCCGUGGCCAUGGUCAAGCAAGACCCAGGCCAGGCCGCUGCUGCCACUCAUGUGCAGAGAGUCACGAUCGGGAGUGGGAGUCCCAGAGUAGGGCUCACACAGGACUGCAAGAGUGGGGACUUUUACUUUUUUUUUUUUUUUUUUUUUUUUUUGAGACAGAGUUUCACUCUUGUUGCCCAGGCUGGAGUGCGACGGCACAAUCUCAGCUCACCGCAACCUCUGCCUCCUGGGUUCAAGCGAUUCUCCUGCCUCAGCCUCCCGAGUAGCUGGAAUUACAGGUGCCUGCCACCAUGCCCAGCUAAUUUUUGUAUUUUUAGUAGAGACGGGGUUUCACCACGUCUUCCAGGCUGGUCUCAAACUCCUGACUUCAGAUGAUCCACCCGCCUUGGCCUCCGAAAGUGCUGGGAUUACAGGCGUGAGCAACCAUGCCUGGCGUUUUUACAUGUUUAAUAAGAUUUUUCUUCAUUUCAAAUAAUGUAAUAAUGAAUAACAAGUAGUGGAGAAGAAAAUAAUCUAGAAUUCACCAUCUUAAUAAAUGAGCAAUUUUGAUUUGUCCAUGUUCCCAAACACUGCAAAUAAAAAUAUUUAAUUUUGGCAUCAUUAUAAUCAUGGCAAAAGUGUAUUUUUAUGAAUUUCAUUUCACUUCUUAUGUUACAUAUUUUAUUAUUGAUGAUUUUACUGACUACAAGAUAUUUUAUUGAGCUGAUAUAGCAGAGAACUCAGAAAUGGAGCAAUUUAUAAAUAUUUGUUGAAAAUAUGAAUUAAUAGAUUUACUUAUCAGCUUCCUUAUUUAGGGGCAUUGAGUUUGUUCCCAUUUUUACUAUUAUGUAUAAUAUGUAGUGGGCACCUUUGUGGAUUUUUUUCUUACUCUUUACAAUUUCUCUAAGAAAGGUUCUGAGAAUGAGGAUUACUGGAUCAGUGGCUAUGAAAUACAGUGGCAAAUUUAUUUUUAUUGGAAUUGUAUGGAUUUGCAUUUCCACUAGCUGUGCACCAAUGUGCUGGUGUUUUAUAUCCUGGCCAACACUGCUGGUUAAUAUCUUAUUCUUUAACAUUUGCUAAUUUAAUAGAUGCAAAGAGAGAGACUUUAAUUUGCAAAUCUCUCUCUUAAAAUAAUUAUCCAGUAACUUUUGCUUUUCAUCUUCAUUUUUUAAGCCUUUUUCUUAGGACCUGACAUAGAACCUAAUUAGCUUUUAAGUUUUCUCAAUAAACCUCAGCAAGUUAGAGACCUACAAAAUGAGCAUGUGAAAGAUUCUGCACCCACUGUGUCCUGCCAAGAUUACCCAAGUCACUGGACCUUCCACAUCUGCCCUUGGCAUGCAGCUUGGCACAUGGGGGAUGCCAGUGCAUGCUGGCCAGGGUGGCCAUGGAAGGAGACAGAAAUACUCCAAGAGGCAGAGCAGAGGCCAGAGACUUGGGGGCGGCUUACAGCAGACAGAGAUGGCUCAUAGCCAUAAGCAUGGGUGUUUCAGAGAGCGAUGUUACUUACUGCAAGUCCUCCCUGGAGGUGUGGUAAGAUUGGCAACAUACCUUGUGUGUAAUAUGGUUUGGGCUCUGUCCUCAGCUCAUCGCAAAGAUUAAUUGAAUGAAUUUCCAAACAGCAUGGAGGGCAUCCUUAUUUUCAUCCUCAGGUUCCAGAUAAGAAGACAGGGUUACUGGAAGGUAUAAUUUGCCUGCAAUCACUCAGCCAUCAGGAUUCUGGCUCAGGUGAUCAGAUUGCACAGUCCCUGCCCUGAGGGCUUGUCGUUGCUGGGCUGGGCAUAGGGAAACAGACCCUGUGUGUGAUUUCUUCAAAGUCUUGACACAGAUAGAAAGUCAGGAAUAUGUUAAAUGAUUAUACCUUGUCUCCUUAUUUGGUUUCUUUAGAAAUUAAUAUUGAAUCAAUAAUACAUUAAAGCACUCGUGGUGAUGAUGAUGAUAAUGUGCUUUAAUUCACUUGAUCUUUAUAUUUUAAAACCCUGAGUCCCAAGGAAGAUGUUAUUGGUCCCAUUACAAAUAGGGAAUCUGAGACUCAGAGGCUGAGUGACUGCCACAGCCACGGUUUGAACCUAGGUCUUCAAACUCAUCUGUACCAUGGGCUGAAUAGCAAUGUUGACCUCCUAAGGGUAUUGAGGGUCAAAUUCUUAGCACAGUGUGUGACACACAUUAUUAUCAAUGACAGAGGAGAUAGCUGAAACCAUGUUUGCAAGAAGGUGAGUUGGAGGCUUGGGAAGAGGAUGGUAGAUGGGUUCAAGGGAACCUUUGCUUCCUGGGAGAUCACAGAUGAAGAGAAGGAGCCCCUAGGAAAGGAGGGAUUGAGUAGACCAGAGAAGUGUUGCUGAGGUUUUCCUGGAGCAGGGGUGGAUGGGACUGCAGGUUCUUAAACUUAACCAGGAGAAGAAAAGAAGAAAGGAGGUAGAGAGGAAGAGCAUGUUAAGGAGCUGAAGAUGGAGCUGUGGUAACAGCAGCUUGAGCUGAGCCGACCCGAGACCAGGGUUCAACAGCACUUGGGACAUGCGCCCAUGCUCCGACCCACAGAAAGCCUGGAAGUUUUCACGUGCCGUUCACUGGUGAAUUUUACAGUGUGGAGGGCACUGAAGUCAUGACAUGGAGGGAACAAGACCUGGGAUGAGGGACUGGACUAGGCCCCCAUAAACAUAGUUCUAAUACUCCAUGUUCCCAGGACCUUCCCAUCAGCAGGGCAAUGAUUCCUGCUUCCUAGGGUUCCAUUUUUCCUGCGUCACGAGUGUCCUUCUGGGCAUAGGUCAACGUUUUUCUGCUUGCAUUAAACUGGGAGAAAAUCAGAGAGAACAUGUAGGAGAUGCCUUUCCUAAUUGUUCUUGAUCACUUUUCUCUCGAUACGAUUUACAUUUGGGGCUGGUCAUUCUUUGUUUUGAUGGGAGCAGCGGCAGGGGCUGUCCUGAGCAUUGUAGGAUGCUGAGCAAUAUCCCUGGUCUCUAGCCACUAGAUGCCAGUAGCACCCUCCCAGUUGUCACAAUUAAAAAAUGCCUCCAGACAUCGUCAAAUGUCCCUGGCAGGCAAAAUUGCUCCCCCCACCCCACCCUACCCCUGCCUUUGAGAACGACAGUGAUAGAGGAACUCAUUUAUUUUACUUUACAAAUGGACCAGUAAAUAUGCAGACUAACAAUUUUAUAAUUAAGUAAUCUGUGACCAUUGUAUUAAUCAUAUAAUUAAAUAUUAGAACAUGGAGUUUCUGCGAUAUCACUUUCUAGAUAAAACUGUGUCACUUGACCAGAAUCAAACUUAGUCAAUGUUUGUUUUUCUCCCAGAAAGUUUUCUCCGGACAUGUUUUCUCCUGCUUCCUGUUCAAAACCAUUGUUUACUGCCUGUAAGAAACAGCUGCUCUAUCCCCAAAGUGACAGCAUUUCAAUAAUACCGAGUAUGUACAUGUGUGCUGGGAUGCUGUUGGUUUAGUAAAUUUAGGGAGUAGAAAAUUCACAGUGACAUUUGAACAGAAAUCUCAAGGGAAGAUCAACGGUCUAUGGGGAUUAAGAAGUGUACCUCUUCCUUGUAUUCAUAGUUUUAAAAAGCACUGUUUUCAAAGCUCAAACAGAAUGAUUUGAUACCCUGAUUGCCUUCUGGUGGCAUGUACUAAAUGGGGGUGGCUGCAGAGGAAGAAGAAAAGUCUAGAAGCUACUCUUCCACAGCAUAUGCUUGUCUGUGUUAAGGGUCACUGGUGGUCCAGACAGUCUUCUGAAGAGAGUCUAACAGUGUCUCCAGUACGGCCAUCCAUCAGUACUUUAGACAGAUGUAGGGAAAGGUCAAGCCAAAUAGGCAGGCUCUCUAAGAGGAGUGUCAUUCCUUCAUCUCCUUCCUCCCUGUGUGUGUGAGAAGACACAAGGGGCCGCUCUAGGAGCUGGGGACAGCCCUCCCCUGAGGAGAGAUAGAAGCAAGCCUUAGGGACUGUGCCUUAUGUGAUUGGAGCCUGCUGAGCCUCACUGUGCUCAGAGCCAGAGAUUAAUUACUCUCAGGCCACUCUAUAAGCUACGAGAAAAAGGAGUCAGGAGGAGAGCUUGUGUGCAAGGAGUACUAGUGGAACAGGGAAUGCUGGUGUAAGGAGGGAGGCUGGUGGAACAGGGAAUGUUGGUGUAAGGAGGGAUGCUAGUGGAACUGGGUGACUUUGUUUUUAAAUUGUUUCUCACUGUAAUGCUAGUAGGACUAGGGUAGCCAGCUGAGUUAAAAUGUAAAUAUAAAUCUUUACCAGAAAUAUAAAAUGAGUAUUGAUAGAACUUUGGGGCAGGGGAAGUCUUUCCAACCUGGACAUUACAAUCAGAAACUUCAUAGGUCUGAUUACAUAAAAAUUUAAAACUAUCUCUACAGGGAAAUAAAAUCUCACCAUGGUAAUAGAACACUGGGGCCGGGCAUGGUGGCUCACGCCUGUAAUCUCAGCACUUUGGGAGGUUGAGGUGGGAAGAUCACGAGAUCAGGAGUUCAAGACCAGCUUGGCCAACAUGGUGAAACUCAUCUCUACUAAAAAUACAAAAGUUAGC
rnacentral:lncRNA from 10 species